AUUUCCUCGCAAAACUUCCUAGCUGACGACUUGGAAAAAAGUCGAUCACUUUUUUCGAAAAAGUCGAGGAGCUUUUGUCGUGAGUAUCUUUGAGUCACAGACGGCGCCAACUGAUGGGGGUGAAACCCGACCAGUACUCCAAGACGCGCAAGCAAGCGCCAAGCGGGGAACUCCGCGGGAAACCGGACCGGAACUCAAGUGUGCAGAGCUCUGCUUCGCUAGGAAUUCUUCUUCUCCAAAAUGACUUACCUUUAAUGAGUGGGGGGUGCCCUCUAUUUAUAGGGGUUCUUAUGGGGUCAAUCUGGUCAUUUGGGCAGUAACCGCCUAACUGCCUAACUGAUCAGAUUGGGUCCAGGGGUCGACUUUCCAG
rnacentral:lncRNA from 1 species